rnacentral:rRNA from 1 species
CUGCAGUCGAGCGGGCACUUCGGUGUCAGCGGCGGACGGGUGAGUAACGCGUGGGAACGUGCCCUCUGGUUCGGAAUAACUCAGGGAAACUUGAGCUAAUACCGGAUACGCCCUUUUGGGGAAAGGCUUGCUGCCGGAGGAUCGGCCCGCGUCUGAUUAGCUAGUUGGUGAGGUAACGGCUCACCAAGGCGACGAUCAGUAGCUGGUCUGAGAGGAUGAUCAGCCACACUGGGACUGAGACACGGCCCACACUCCUACGGGAGGCAGCAGUGGGGAAUAUUGGACAAUGGGCGCAAGCCUGAUCCAGCCAUGCCGCGUGAGUGAUGAAGGCCUUAGGGUUGUAAAGCUCUUUUAUCCGGGACGAUAAUGACGGUACCGGAGGAAUAAGCCCCGGCUAACUUCGUGCCAGCAGCCGCGGUAAUACGAAGGGGGCUAGCGUUGCUCGGAAUCACUGGGCGUAAAGGGCGCGUAGGCGGCGUUUUAAGUCGGGGGUGAAAGCCUGUGGCUCAACCACAGAAUGGCCUUCGAUACUGGGACGCUUGAGUAUGGUAGAGGUUGGUGGAACUGCGAGUGUAGAGGUGAAAUUCGUAGAUAUUCGCAAGAACACCGGUGGCGAAGGCGGCCAACUGGACCAUUACUGACGCUGAGGCGCGAAAGCGU